GACAGCAUUGUGACUAAAGUGUAGCACGCUUAAUAUAGCAUCUUGUUUGUUGAGCUGUUGUAUAAAAUCAAUUCAUUUGCGAUCGCACUGACAUUCAGGAAAGCAACACUCUUUUUUAUGACAUAGACUAAAUAUUAAAAACAAAAACUCUCACAGGGCAUUUUUGCCUCCAUAUAUUGAAUUAUAUUAUAACUGUAUUCUGAUUGCCUUCAUCCGGCACUGAAAAACUUGCAAAGUCCAGUGCAAUUGCAAGGUUACAAAAUAUCAGCUCGCACAUCAUCAAAACAACAGUUAGUACACGAUAAAUAUUGCACCCUAGGUAAAAUACUAUCGAAAUACUAGCAUGGUUCGCUAGAAACACUUUUUAAAUAAUGGUAAGCAUGGGUGACCUAUUAUAUAGUUAGUCAUAACCUCUGACUAAUGAUCAGACUGGAGAGUUUGUGAUCGUGGGGUACACGUAACUUACAUCGGCCGGCGUGAUACACCCUGAGCGACAUAGAUUCCUAAUGAACGAGUAAAUAUAAAGUAGACUAGAAUAAACUAUAAACUAGAAUAAUCAAAUGUCAGAAGAAUAAUUAGGAACAGACAAACGACCAAUUUGCGACCUUUCAACCUAAGUCAGAUUAGUUAAUAAAAUUAAGUCAGAUUUCAAUUUAACCUAAAUUUAAUAACUUUGCGCGCUGAAAAGACCGAACACGCAGGAAACCUUCAUCCACGAUUGGAUACCGUCCUUGGACCAAAUUCGUGGACCUUACACAGCUCCAUCAUCAGUUCUCAAACUGCUCAGCUUUCUUCUGGCAGCUUCUCCGUAUCUGCUAGUGUCCAUCAUACUGGGAGUCAAAUGCUACAGAGCUCAUGUUCAGACUGAUGAUCAAUAUGCUGUCACAGAGAUGUGAAAGUCUACAGCUGUGAUGAAUGAAUCCCAUCAGUAUUCUCUUUUUUCUGUUUAACAAUAUUAUUAUUCUGAAUUAGACAGUAAUCUCUAGGUUCAAAUGAACUCUGCUUGAAUCACAUUAGUUUACUCUUUUAAAUCUUUGCAUUACACACUGUAAAACUUCUAAGCCAAAUUCUAACAGUAACAUACCAUUGAAAACUGUGCAUUGUAUCUCAUUUCCUUCUGUCAAAACAACGUACUGCAUUGAACAUACCUGUCUGAGUGCCAUAAGUAUUAUUUUUCCUUUUUUGCUGUGGGGUUAAAGAUGUAAAAUAAAAGAUAUAUCAAAAAAAGAAUUGUAAAUUAAGUUCAUGACAAGCAAAAAUAUUGGCAA